rfam:Schistosoma mansoni strain Puerto Rico chromosome 1, complete genome
AACUUUCUAAAUCAGUGUCAAGAUUUCGUCACUCACUAACCCACCAAUGCUGAUGAGACUUCCAAGGUAAGUGAAGUA